rnacentral:rRNA from 1 species
GCACUUCUCCCCUAGUAGGACGUCGCGACCCGUCGAGUGUCGGCCUACGGCACGGGAGUGAGCCUGUCACGUUGCGCCUCGGCGCACGGGGCAGAACCCCGUUGUCCCGACCGGCUGCUCGGCGGUACACGCACGGUAUCGGGCCGCAGACUCACGAGACUGCGUCCAGCCCGUCGCAAGCGACGGUCAGUGUAUACCCGGAGUGCACGGACCCAGUGCCGUCCCCGGGCCUGGCCCGCUGUUGGUCGACGGUGUCCUCGGACCGGCCAAGAACGCAAUACCGGUCGGCGACGCUACUGCUUUGGGUACUUUCAGG